UAAAAAAAGGACUGAAUUUUGCGAGCAAUUCGAAGAAAACUUGCUUUCAAUAAUAUGGUGGAAAAAGAUGAAACAAUUACGGAUCCAAGAGAGAUUGGUAAACUACCAUAAAUUUGAUUAGCGAAAUGUUUUUGGACCGCGUUAUUUUUUUGAAAGGGUAUUGCGAUAGUGGUAGAAGGAUAUCGUUACAAUAAGAAAGCAACAGGUUUAUUAUCAAAAAGUUUUAAGGCAAUAUGACUCUAAAUUAAUAAUUUAAGAAAUUUGAAGCGAAAUGUAUCAUUAACUAUAAAAAAAUAAGUCUAGAGGUGACCAGGGAACUUUGUAUACUAAAAACAAAUAUUUCCUAAUUGGUGUUUGGAAAAUAACACAAACGACAUUUAGGAAAUAUUGUCUAGUGAGUUCGUUUAAAGAAAGCAAGAAACGGUUAUUGAUGAGUAAAAGGAUAUUUUGGAAAAGAUAUUGAAUGGCAACAAAACAUCUAAUUUACAGACAUCAAAAUAAGCGAAAUGACUAGGAUAUAUAUCCUACGUUAGAUAAAUAAAAUAGCUUAAAAGGAUGUAUAACAGAUAAAGGAAAUUUUUAUUCUGGAUAAAAAAGAUUGUCAAAGAGGAGUGAUUAAAUAAAAUUGACAAUCGUCUCCACCAUGGUACGAACAUCGGCCGCGGCAGCGAUACCAACUUCCAAAACCUCCAAGUGAUUUGCAGCACCCUUAGACAUGACAUUCGAAUCAACCUCCACUAAGUCUUUGGCAGAGGGGCUCUCUUCAACAACAACGUUGUUGGUAACCAAAGAAAUGGCAAGAACACGAAUACCACAAUGACGCGCAACGACUACUUCGGGAACCGUAGACAUGCCGACACAAUCAGCUCCCAUAAGAGCAAGCAUUCGACUUUCAGCGCGAGUCUCAAAACACGGACCAGAUACAAAUGCAUAACAACCUUCGUGAAUUGUACGGCUAACCUUGUGAGCCUUGGCAGCAUCGUAAACCAAUUUUCGUAAUUCUAAAUCAUAAGCAUCCGAUAAUGGGGGGAAACGUACACCAAAUUCGUGUGCAUUAGGGCCUCUGAGAGGGUUCAUGCCCGCGAGGCCAGGAAAAUUGAUGUGAUCUUUAAGAAUCAUCAAAUCACCAACUUUGAAACCUUGAUUCAAGCCGCCAGCUGCGUUGGUAACAACCAUGACUUCAACGCCCAUGACUUUCAUAAGACGAACAGGAAACGUGGUAGCUUCUAUAGGAUAUCCCUCAUAAGAGUGGUAACGACCAGCCAAAAUCAUAGUGGGAACGCGUUUCUCGCCCAAAAAGGCAAAGUACAAUUUGGAUGCGUGACCUGGAACAUGGGAAACAUGAAAGUGAGGAAUAUCUUCAUAAGGAACUUCAUAAACUGGAGCCGACAAUCCAGAGGCUAAUGUGCCCAAACCGCUACCGCAAAUGAUGGCAACUUUGGGCUUGGAAAGCUCUUCGGGGACUUGUUCAAUGAUGUAUUCACGAGCCUCAAGCGCUUUAAUGUAAGGUUCAGUAUGAUGGGGUUGCUGUUUUGCCUGGUGAAGAAAAGAUGUAGCAGUCAUUGUUG